rnacentral:rRNA from 1 species
AGAGUUUGAUCCUGGCUCAGGAUGAACGCUAGCUACAGGCUUAACACAUGCAAGUCGAGGGGCAGCAUGAAAGGAACUUCGGUUCUUUUUGAUGGCGACCGGCGCACGGGUGCGUAACGCGUAUCGAACCUGCCUCAUACUCGGGGAUAGCCUUGCGAAAGUAAGAUUAAUACCCGGCGGUCUCGGAUGGCCGCAUGACUGUCCGAGUGAAGAUUUAUCGGUAUGAGAUGGCGAUGCGUCCCAUUAGCUUGUUGGUGAGGUAACGGCUCACCAAGGCAUCGAUGGGUAGGGGUUCUGAGAGGAAGGUCCCCCACAUUGGAACUGAGACACGGUCCAAACUCCUACGGGAGGCAGCAGUGAGGAAUAUUGGUCAAUGGGCGGAAGCCUGAACCAGCCAAGUAGCGUGCAGGACGACGGCCCUCCGGGUUGUAAACUGCUUUUAGUUGGGAAUAAAACGGGGCUCGUGAGCCCCCUUGCAUGUACCAUCAGAAAAAGGACCGGCUAAUUCCGUGCCAGCAGCCGCGGUAAUACGGAAGGUCCGGGCGUUAUCCGGAUUUAUUGGGUUUAAAGGGAGCGCAGGCGGACCUUUAAGUCAGCUGUGAAAUACGGCGGCUCAACCGUCGAACUGCAGUUGAUACUGGAGGUCUUGAGUGCACACAGGGAUGCUGGAAUUCAUGGUGUAGCGGUGAAAUGCUCAGAUAUCAUGAAGAACUCCGAUCGCGAAGGCAGGCAUCCGGGGUGCAACUGACGCUGAGGCUCGAAAGUGCGGGUAUCAAACAGGAUUAGAUACCCUGGUAGUCCGCACAGUAAACGAUGAAUACUCGCGGUUUGCGAUACAAUGUAAGCCGCCAAGCGAAAGCGUUAAGUAUUCCACCUGGGGAGUACGCCGGCAACGGUGAAACUCAAAGGAAUUGACGGGGGCCCGCACAAGCGGAGGAACAUGUGGUUUAAUUCGAUGAUACGCGAGGAACCUUACCCGGGCUCAAACGUCGGGCGAACCAUCCUGAAAGGGAUGGGCCAGCAAUGGCGGCCGACGAGGUGUUGCAUGGUUGUCGUCAGCUCGUGCCGUGAGGUGUCGGCUUAAGUGCCAUAACGAGCGCAACCCCCGCGUCCAGUUGCCAGCGAGUAGAGUCGGGCACUCUGGACGGACUGCCGGCGCAAGCCGCGAGGAAGGCGGGGAUGACGUCAAAUCAGCACGGCCCUUACGUCCGGGGCGACACACGUGUUACAAUGGCGUGGAACAGAGGGAAGCCACCUGGCGACAGGGAGCGGAACCCGAAAACACGUCUCAGUUCGGAUUGGAGUCUGCAACUCGACUCCAUGAAGCUGGAUUCGCUAGUAAUCGCGCAUCAGCCAUGGCGCGGUGAAUACGUUCCCGGGCCUUGUACACACCGCCCGUCAAGCCAUGGGAGCCGGGAGUGCCUGAAGGCCGUAACCGCAAGGAGCGGUCAAGGGUAAGACUGGUGACUGGGGCUAAGUCGUAACAAGGUAGCCGUACCGGAAGGUGCGGCUG